UACGGAGGGUGCAAGCGUUGUCCGGAUUUAUUGGGUUUAAAGGGUGCGUAGGCGGGGAGUUAAGUCAGAGGUGAAAGCCCACAGCUCAACUGUGGAACUGCCAUUGAUACUGGUUUUCUUGAGUGUAGAUGAGGCAGGCGGAAUUUACGAUGUAGCGGUGAAAUGCAUAGAUAUCGUAAAGAACACCUAUAGCGAAGGCAGCUUGCUAAACUACUACUGACGCUGAGGCACGAAAGCAUGGGGAGCAAACAGG
rnacentral:misc_RNA from 1 species